UCAUCAUGGAAUAAUGAAACAGGACUUCGGUUCUUUUUGUGGUUCUAGAAUGAUCUAAUGGUUAAGAGGGACAAACCGGGGGCAUUCGUAUCAUUACGCGAGAGGUGAAAUUCGUGGACCGUAGUGAGACGCCCAAUAGCGAAAAGCAUUUGCCAAGAAAUGUCUUCAUUAAUCAAGAACGAAAGUCAGAGGUUCGAAGGCGAUUAGAUACCGCCCUAGUUCUGACCGUAAACGAUGCCAUCUCGCGAUUCGGAGGGUUCAUGCCCUACCGAGGAGCUACCCGGAAACGAAAGUCUUUCGGUUCCGGGGGUAGUAUGGUUGCAAAGCUGAAACUUAAAGAAAUUGACGGAAGGGCACCACAAGGCGUGGAGCUUGCGGCUUAAUUUGACUCAACACGGGAAAACUCACCCGGUCCGGACACUAUUAGGACUGACAGAUUGAAAGCUCUUUCUCGAUUUGGUGGUUGGUGGUGCAUGGCCGUUCUUAGUUGGUGGAGUGAUUUGUCUGGUUUAUUCCGAUAACGAGCGAGACUCUAGCCUGCUAAAUAGUCGACGAAUCUUCGGGUUCGUAUAACUUCUUAGAGGGAUAAGCGGUGUUUAGCCGCACGAGAUUGAGCGAUAACAGGUCUGUGAUGCCCUUAGAUGUCCGGGGCUGCACGCGUGCUACACUAGGUGGAGUCAGCGGGUUUUUCCUAUGCCGAAAGGUAUCGGUAAACCGUUGAACUUCUUCCAUGUCCGGGAUAGGGUAUUGUAAUUAUUACCCUUAAACGAGGAAUGCCUAGUAAGUGUGAGUCAUCAGCUCACGUUGAUUACGUCCCUGCCCUUUGUACACACCGCCCGUCGCUAUCCGGGACUGAACUGAUUCGAGAAGAGUGGGGACUGUGGCUGCGAGGUUUUACCACUUCGCAGUUGCGGAAACCAUUUUUAUCGCAUUGGUUUGAACCGGGUAAAAGUCGUAACAAGGUAGCUGUAGGUGAACCUGCAGCUGGAUCAUCG
rfam:Caenorhabditis japonica strain DF5081 Contig9737.1, whole genome shotgun sequence.